CAGUCGCCACGGUAAUACGUAGGUGGCAAGCGUUAUCCGGAAUUAUUGGGCGUAAAGCGCGCGUAGGCGGUUUUUUAAGUCUGAUGUGAAAGCCCACGGCUCAACCGUGGAGGGUCAUUGGAAACUGGAAAACUUGAGUGCAGAAGAGGAAAGUGGAAUUCCAUGUGUAGCGGUGAAAUGCGCAGAGAUAUGGAGGAACACCAGUGGCGAAGGCGACUUUCUGGUCUGUAACUGACGCUGAUGUGCGAAAGCGUGGGGAUCAAACAGGAUUAGAUACCCGAGUAGUCCCUGUCUCUUAUAC
rnacentral:rRNA from 1 species